rnacentral:rRNA from 1 species
CUAACGUCACAGGCGAGAGGAAGAACCAGACCAUCAGCUAAGGUCCCAAAAUCUAUGUUAAGUUGGUUAACGUGGUCAGAUUGCAUUGACAGCUAGGAUGUUGGCUUGGAAGCAGCCAUUCAUUUAAAGAGUGCGUAACAGCUCACUAGUCGAGCGAUCUGGCGUGGAUAAUAAGCGGGCAUUAAACAUAGUACCGAAGCUAUGGCAUCGAAAGAUGGGUAGGGGAGCAUUCUAACUGCACCGAAGGUUCUUCGUAAGGAGGGCUGGAGCGGCUAGAAAAGCAAAUGUAGGCAUAAGUAACGAUAAGGCGGGUGAGAAACCCGCCCACCGAAAGACUAAGGGUUCCUGAUCAACGCUAAUCGGAUCAGGGUUAGUCGGGACCUAAGGCUCAUCCGAAUGGAAAUGCCGAUGGACAACAGAUUAAUAUUUCUGUACCGGUGCAAUCAGUGAUGGAAUGACGGAG